rnacentral:rRNA from 1 species
UACGGGGGGGGCAAGCGUUGUUCGGAAUUACUGGGCGUAAAGGGUUCGUAGGUGGCCAACUAAGUCAGACGUGAAAUCCCUCAGCUUAACUGGGGAACUGCGUCUGAUACUGGUUGGCUUGAGUGCAGGAGAGGAACGCGGAAUUCCAGGUGUAGCGGUGAAAUGCGUAGAUAUCGGGAGGAACACCUGUGGCGAAAGCGGCGCACUGGACCAUAACUGACGCUGAUGCGCGAAAGCUAGGGGAGCAAACAGG